rnacentral:miRNA from 1 species
UCCCCUCGCGGGUGACGCUUA